UACGAAGGGGGCUAGCGUUGCUCGGAAUCACUGGGCGUAAAGCGCACGUAGGCGGACUCUUAAGUCGGUGGUGAAAUCCUGGAGCUCAACUCCAGAACUGCCUUCGAUACUGAGAGUCUCGAGUCCGGGAGAGGUGAGUGGAAUUCCCAGUGUAGAGGUGAAAUUCGUAGAUAUUGGGAAGAACACCAGUGGCGAAGGCGGCUCACUGGCCCGCAACUGACGCUGAGGUGCGAAAGCGUGGGGAGCAAACAGG
rnacentral:rRNA from 1 species